rnacentral:RNase_P_RNA from 2 species
CGGCGGGCGCGGACCGGUUCUGGGGGACUUGCCGCGGAGGAAAGUCCGGACUCCACAGGGCUCGGUGGUGGGUAACGCCCACCGUCCGGGGCGUUCGCGCUUCGGAUAGGGAAAGUGCCACAGAAAGUAAACCGCCUCGGUGGAGGGAUUCACGUCCUGAAACCGCGGUAAGGGUGAAACGGUGAGGUAAGAGCUCACCAGCAGGCCGGGUGACCGGUCUGGCUCGGCAAACCCCACCGGGAGCAAGGCCAAAUAGGGGAGCAGCGGGAACAGCGUGGGCGUCGAAGGGCCGGGCGACCGGACCUCGCGAGCCUUCGUCCCGCACGGGUCGGCCCGAUCCGUCAUCGACUCCCGGGUAGGUCGCUUGAGGCGUCGGGAGACCGGCGUCCCAGAGAAAUGAUCAUCCGAGGUCCGAACGGGCGGCUUGCCGUCCCCACGACCUUCGACAGAAUCCGGCUUACGCCGCCCGCCGCGAC